rnacentral:lncRNA from 1 species
CCAGAUCCCACGUGCCCUUUCCUGAGCCUCAACUGAUGCCUUUGGGACACAUCGGACUUGUCCUUCCUCAACUUCUAAGUUGCUCCGCUCAGGUCGUGCGUCGUUGGUGACUCUGGCGUGAAGGACCGAGAAACGAGUUCGUUGGACAUUUCCCAAAAGCUCGAUUUUCUCAGGACCCUGCCCCUCUUCCAGAGGGGAAUUUGAAGGAGGAGGACAGAAGAACUCAUAAACUCUUAGAAGUCUUAAAGCCAUGUCCAAGGAACAUUCCGCACCUCCACUGAGCACAUUAUUUGAGGUGAUUUUGAG